UACGGGGGGGGCAAGCGUUGUUCGGAAUUACUGGGCGUAAAGGGCUCGUAGGUGGCCAACUAAGUCAGACGUGAAAUCCCUCGGCUUAACCGGGGAACUGCGUCUGAUACUGGAUGGCUUGAAUCCGGGAGAGGGAUGUGGAAUUCCAGGUGUAGCGGUGAAAUGCGUAGAUAUCUGGAGGAACACCAGAGGCGAAGGCGGGUUACUGGGCUGAUACUGACGCUGAUGCGCGAAAGCCAGGGGAGCAAACGGG
rnacentral:rRNA from 1 species